CUCAUCGAGGACUACAGUGGGAUCUGCAUUUUCCAAACCGUACUUUUGGUCAUUGUAUGCAAACAGCUAGAAAUUUGGAAGUUGUUCCUUUUAAUCCAGAAAUCAAAAAGACUUUCAAAGAAUUCAGAGGAAAAAUUAACAAGUUUCUACUCAAAGCAAAGCAAUGGUUGAUCAACAAGGGGAAGAGACCAAGUCUUUAAGGGAAUAUGCUAUCGCACUAGUACAAGGUCUCCACUCUAGUAUCCAAGACCUCUUAUUCAAGCUAACAACUUUGAAAUUAAGCCAGCAAUCAUUCAAAUGAUUCAAACUUCUAUUCAGUUUUAGGGGUUUGCUUAAUGAUGAUCUUAAUGCUCAUAUUAUAAAUUUUCUGAAAAUUUACAUCA